rnacentral:lncRNA from 12 species
GUUUGUGUGAGGACGUUACCAUGAGAAUGCUAAGGACUCACUGUUUUGUUGUAAGAAAGCUUGGUUUUGGCCAAAAACCAAGCAGUGGCUCAUAUAGUAAAGAAUCUGGUCUCGCCCAGAGAGAGAGAAUUCUGGGAGGUAAUUUCAAAGUUCAAUAUCAUGGCAAUAGGAAUGUUUUUGUUUUUGUUUCCCGGGGGCUUUGACAUGACCAAUGACAUGACUUAGGGUGGGUGCAUUUGGUCAUGCCAAGCUAUCUUGACCUCCUGAGGGGCUGGAGACAGAGGUUAGCCAUGUACACAGUAGGCUAUUCUUGUAAGAUGGAGCCUCAAUAAAAACUCUGGACUCAGGGUGAGCUUCUUUGGUUGGCAAUACUCUGUGCAUGUUGCCACACGUUGUCGCUAGGAGGAGUUAAUGUGUCUCCAUGACACCACAGGGAGAGGAGGAAUGGAAAGCUCUGUGUUUAGACACUGUCCUGUGCACUUCCUCCCUUGGCUGAUUUUAAUCUGUAUCCUUUAGCUAUAGUAAACCAUAACUGUGAGUCUGACAACUUUUUUGUAAAUUCUGUGAGUCCUUCUAACAAAUUUUGUUACUUUGUUUCUCUCUGUUUAUGAGCUUGAUUUUUUUCAGUUGAAACCCUUUGGGUGAACAGGGUCACUUCUGUUGGGUUCAGCAAGAGCUGAGUUUAGGAUUUCACUUAAUUUGGCUUAACAUUUUUAUUACUGGGACCAGGAGCAAACCCUUUAAAAACUGAAAGGGGUGUGGGAGGUCAUAGAUCCCAUAGGAUCUACCCUCUCUUUUCCCACACGGUGAAAUUGAGAUGUCAAGAUGGGAAGAGACAAGUGUGCUACCGUGCAGCUGGCCAGGGGCAGGGGCUGGGACUGGAGCCAGAUCUGGUAUUUCCUGGGCCACCAGCUCUUGCUACUAUGUCCACUAUGUUCCUGGAGAUAAGAAAGAAGUCUGCUCAGCCCAAAGUUUUCAACCAGGGCGCAUAGAGAUGUUUUGGAAGUCUGUGCAUAGAGACAAUGUAUGAAAUUUUCUUGACAAUAUUAAAACAUCACUGCACAAACAUAAAGGAGAAGAAUGCAGAAGAGGAGCAGAGAAGCAAGAAUGGCAAAAUGGUCACACCUGAAUUUGGGAAGGAGAGUUUGCUGUAUUAUUCUGUUUGUAAUCUUUUAUAACAAAAUUUAUUUUUUAAAGAUUUUAUUUAUUUAUUCAUGAGAGACACAGAGAAAGAGGCAGAGACACAGGCAGAGGGAGAAGUA